GGCGCGUGGGGGGUGCCGGGAAAGCGAGGGGGGAGGGCGCUCGCGCCGCUUCCCUCAGCGCGUGUCCCGCUCUGCCGUCCGCUCCUCGCGCCGCAGGUAAAGGCUGUUGGUGCUGAAGUGUCUCUGGGGCGGCGGCGGAGGCCGCUGGUGCUGAGGCAGCGGUUGUGAAGGUGGCACGUUGGGACGCAGCUGGGAAGAGCUGCCAAUUGACAACGAACUCGGGGGAUUUACAGAAUAAAGGAUGGCACCGUGCUUAAGAGUACCACGGGCUGGUUUUGUUGUCCUGGAAAUUCCCUCUGAAAAUGUUGCGGUGCUCAGUAAAUCAGAUCCUGCCGGAUUCAUCUUUACUGCUUGGAGAGCAGGAGUUCCAAUGUGCAGCAGUCGGGCACAAUCCGAAGCGUGUGGAAUAGUGAGAUUUCGGGACAGCCUUUGCUCCUCGUGGCUGAGCUCCGUGUGCUUGGAGAUGUACACGUUGGGUCACAAAUAACACGCGUUGAGGUGGUGUACCCAGAUGGAGGUUUGUUGUGUAUUACUCCAAAUAUACAAAAAUAAAAUAACCACUGAUCACAGAGGGAUGGCAGGAUAUGCCUCUAAAGAGCUCUGCUGAAAUAUCCACAUAUGUUCUGUAUCUGUAGUGAUGAAGAGAUGAAAGCAGAGUUGGCUCUCUGGAAAAAUGGUAAGGAUAACUGCUUUUUGUGAAAACUGGCCUAGGAAUGAACUGCAGUCACCUCCUCGGAUUCCUGCAAUGCACUCUGUUUUGUGCUGAGUGCCCUCUUGAGGUCCUCAGCAUACAAUGGCCUGGACGAGUCCCUGGUGCUCUGACUGCACCUGAGCUGUUCUUAGCCCUUCCAUUAAAGGCUUUUCCUCUUUCUCUCCCUCUCUUUCGCUCUCUUUUUUUCCCUUUCUCUUUUCCUUCUUUCUUUCUGUUCUUUUGUUUUGUUUUGUUUUCCACCUGUGGGAGAGGUGUUCUAACCAACAUAGACUGGGAGAUCACAGUUAGGACAGCUGCUUCUGUAAAUCAUAAAUAUGGACAAUGAGUUACCCUGAAAAGUUAAAAUAAAUUCUGGAUGUAACCCAAAAACCCAGUCAGCCAAACCAAAUCUGUUCCACGUUCAGGAGCUUUGGUUAUCUUUGCUGAUGUAUAGCAAUGUACCUCCUAUUUAGUUUUCUGAUUUUUUUUUCCUAGUUCUGGCUGGGACAAAAGUGCAAGUGCUAACAUGCCCUGUGAGUCUCUUCUUGCAAGACUUACCAGAGGUAUCAGGGGAGCCUAAUUUUCUUCCUUGUCCCAGCCAAGUUCUGUAGUCAGAGGAACUGUGGAUUGCUUCAGUAAGUGCAGUAACUUUUGGGUACU
ensembl:lncRNA